rnacentral:rRNA from 1 species
UACAGAGGUCCCAAGCGUUUGUUCGGAUUCAUUGGGCGUAAAGGGUGCGUAGGCGGCGCGGUAAGUCGGGUGUGAAAUCUCGGGGCUUAACUCCGAAACUGCAUUCGAUACUGCCGUGCUUGAGGACUGGAGAGGAGACUGGAAUUUACGGUGUAGCGGUGAAAUGCGUAGAUAUCGUAAGGAAGACCAGUGGCGAAGGCGGGUCUCUGGACAGUUCCUGACGCUGAGGCACGAAGGUCAGGGGAGCAAACGGG